AAACGGACGCUAAUACCGCAUGACAUAUCGUUAUGGCAUCAUGAUGAUAUCAAAGGAGGAAUCCGCUUUGAGAUGGACUCGCGUCCAAUUAGCUAGUUGGUGAGGUAACGGCCCACCAAGGCGACGAUUGGUAGCCGGACUGAGAGGUUGAACGGCCACAUUGGGACUGAGACACGGCCCAGACUCCUACGGGAGGCAGCAGUGGGGAAUAUUGCACAAUGGGGGGAACCCUGAUGCAGCGACGCCGCGUGAGGGAAGACGGUCUUCGGAUUGUAAACCUCUGUCUUUAGGGACGAAAAAAUGACGGUACCUAAGGAGGAAGCCACGGCUAACUAC
rnacentral:rRNA from 1 species